rnacentral:rRNA from 1 species
GCGCACGGGUGAGUAACACGUGAAUGAUCUACCUCCGAGUGGGGAAUAACUGAGAGAAAUCUUGGCUAAUACCGCAUAAUACCCACGGGUCAAAGCAGCAAUGCGCUUGGAGAGGAGUUCGCGGCCGAUUAGCUAGUUGGCGGGGUAAUGGCCCACCAAGGCGAUGAUCGGUAUCCGGCCUGAGAGGGCGCACGGACACACUGGAACUGAAACACGGUCCAGACUCCUACGGGAGGCAGCAGUGGGGAAUUUUGCGCAAUGGGGGAAACCCUGACGCAGCAACGCCGCGUGGAGGAUGAAGCCCCUUGGGGUGUAAACUCCUUUCGAUCGGGAAGAUAAUGACGGUACCGAUAUAAGAAGCCCCGGCUAACUUCGUGCCAGCAGCCGCGGUAAUACGAGGGGGGCAAGCGUUGUUCGGAAUUAUUGGGCGUAAAGGGUGCGUAGGCGGUUUGACAAGUCUGAUGUGAAAUCUAUGGGCUCAACCCAUAGUCUGCAUCGGAAACUGUCGGGCUUGAGUAUGGGAGAGGUGAGUGGAAUUUCCGGUGUAGCGGUGAAAU